rnacentral:rRNA from 1 species
UACGGAGGUGCAAGCGUUAUCCGGAUUCACUGGGUUUAAAGGGUGCGUAGGUGGGGAGGUAAGUCAGCGGUGAAAUCCCCGAGCUUAACUUGGGAACUGCCAUUGAUACUAUCUCUCUUGAAUACCUUGGAGGUGAGCGGAAUAUGUCAUGUAGCGGUGAAAUGCUUAGAUAUGACAUAGAACACCAAUUGCGAAGGCAGCUCACUACACGGUCAUUGACACUGAGGCACGAAAGCGUGGGGAGCAAACAGG